GUUGAAAUGUCUGCAUUGAAUCAUCUAAUGUCCACACAUGUUCUACAACAAGCACAGCAGAUAGAGCUUCUGUAUGAACAGGUCAGGAAUUUAUCCAUCAUGGUUAUAUUUGCUGCCACUGUUAUCUUGCUAAAUUUUUUGCAAUGCUAUUAACCUUAUAUAAACUAUUUAUCUUUAUUACUUCCUGACUGGAAUAUCAUUGCUUAAGACAAUGAAUUGUGAGCAGAAUGCCAUUUUCAUUGUAAAUCUAGGGCCACAAAGAAAUACAAAAAAUCGUUCAAUGUCAUUUAAGUUUCUCUUUUGCCUCUACAUCAUUGCUUCCUAGCUGUUUGGUUUAUAUAAAGUAAUGUACUAACUUAUCAUGGACUCAAAUUACCAGAGGAGGUAUGCAGUCAUGUUGCAUGAGCGCCUAUCUGUUGCUGCAUUACCUUAAUAUGGCAACCAUAGCGCGAUGACAGUAGGACAUUUCUACCUCUCGUUUUUUGGUAUUCAGGAGAACAUAAAAUGCAGUUAUCAUGUUACACUGAAAAUUUUGAAAUUUCUGGCCAUGAUUUUUGAGCAUGUUUGGUAGAAUGAAAUGGAACAUAAUGGAAUGCAAGAAUGCAACAAAACCAAAGAGUCAAUAGAAGAAUAAACUAGAGAUGCAUUUCAUUACAGUACAUUCGAAUACUCCAUUAUGCUCCAUUAGAUUCUUCAAGUUAUCAAGCAUGCAUUUAGGUGAUUAUAAGAUAUGAUAAGGCUGUGCGCAAGAAAAUUUAUUCUUCUUAGUUAAAUUUCAGGUCGGAUAUUUCCUAUUUUGGAAUGGAUGUUUUAGUAAUCAGGCUAUAUUCAGCAGCAAUAGGUUGAGUUAAUCCUAUUUAGUUUGGGAUUUGAGUAAUUUGGUGUCACUAGGAGGGGAAUUGUAUAAAUAGGGUUGUAAUGCCCAGUAGCAGCAGAUUAAGGCUCUAUCUGCUUUUGCAUUAAUGUUUUAGAAUCUCUGGACUGUUUCCAAUUUUCUCAUUCCUCCUUUUAUUUCUUUAAAUCAAGUUUCCUUUCGCGCUUGCAAAUUAUGCUGCUGUUCCAAGAUUCUGUUUGUUUAAUUCUCCACAAUCAGGUUUCAAUACUAAAAAAAAUUCCUUGUUAAAUUCAGGUUUCUAGAUCUGAAUUUUCUUGAUGUUUUAAAUCCCUAAUCAGUUGAACUUGGGCACAUUUCAUAGUGUAAUUGAAAACCUACUUUACUGGGCGAACAGCUUGUAUCUGGUUGUUAAU
rnacentral:misc_RNA from 1 species